UACGUAGGUGACAAGCGUUGUCCGGAUUUACUGGGCGUAAAGAGCGCGCAGGCGGUCGUUCAAGUCGAGUGUGAAAGCCCCCGGCUCAACUGGGGAGGGUCAUUCGAUACUGAUCGACUCGAAGGCAGGAGAGGGAAGUGGAAUUCCCGGUGUAGUAGUGAAAUGCGUAGAUAUCGGGAGGAACACCAGUGGCGAAGGCGGCCAUCUGGGACAACACUGACGCUGAAGCACGAAAGCGUGGGGAGCAAACAGG
rnacentral:rRNA from 1 species